GAUGAACGCUGGCGGCGUGCUUAACACAUGCAAGUCGAACGGAAAGGCCCAAGCUUGCUUGGGUACUCGAGUGGCGAACGGGUGAGUAACACGUGGGUGAUCUGCCCUGCACUUCGGGAUAAGCCUGGGAAACUGGGUCUAAUACCGGAUAGGACCACAUUUUGGAUGGUGUGGUGGAAAGUUUUUCGGUGUGGGAUGAGCUCGCGGCCUAUCAGCUUGUUGGUGGGGUAAUGGCCUACCAAGGCGUCGACGGGUAGCCGGCCUGAGAGGGUGUACGGCCACAUUGGGACUGAGAUACGGCCCAGACUCCUACGGGAGGCAGCAGUGGGGAAUAUUGCACAAUGGGCGCAAGCCUGAUGCAGCGACGCCGCGUGGGGGAUGACGGCCUUCGGGUUGUAAACUCCUUUCGCUAGGGACGAAGCGUUAUGUGACGGUACCUGGAGAAGAAGCACCGGCUAACUACAUG
rnacentral:rRNA from 1 species